AUAAGCACUCUCAGGAUAACUGCUGGGACACUUUCUCUGGAAAUUGAUGGUUAAGAUGGAAUAAGGAGCUUGAGUCAAUCUCUGGGAGACAUCAGGACAAGCAUCUGCGGGGUUUGCUGUUUCCAAGGGUACUCAAGCAUAGCCACUGCUCAGGCUCUGAGGUUCUGGAGGCUGGAACAGCAUCUCCCAACUGACCCAGAUUUUAAUCACCAAUGACGGUAGCAUGUUAACGUCAGGAUCACGCAUCUUCCAAAUGUCUGAAAAGAUUCAGUAAGUGUGGAAAAUGAACUUCACAGAAGUCAACUGAAAUGCUAUUUUCUCUUGGUUGAAAAAGAGCUCAAGAUUAUGGACAGGUUUUUGUGUGGACGUUAAAUUUUCAACUCCUUUGGAUGAAUAACAAGGAUCACCAUGGCUGGAUCAUAUGCUCAGGGCCUGAUUGUAUUUGGGCUCUUGAAAGAAAAGGAUCUGAACAGGGCACUCUGCCCUGAUUAUCCUUCUACUACUUCCUAUGGAAGGGGUCAGGAGUAGGAAGAGGAGGAAGAGGCCACGCUGGUGGCGCUGUGCAUGAGGAAAGUGCAGCCUGUGGGACUUAGGCCAAGACCCUGAAGGAGGACAUCAGCAAUUACGGUUCCACGUGUUCGACCUCACAAAACAGUGUUCUCCAGAUUCGACAAGCUGUAGUCAACUGCUGUCUUUUCAUCUCUUCAUUGGAGCAUUAAUGAAAAAGAAGCUUCCUAUUGAUUGUAAUUUUUAAUGCUGCUGUUCACUCCUCGCCCAGCUGACUUGGAUAUUCUGAGGAGGGCUCCAGCUUGAAGGUGCCCUGGCUGCCAGCCACCACUCUCCAGGUCUCCUCGCCUCUGGCUGCUCCUUUGUGGCCAGAAUACAAAAUGAGGGAGAGGCAAUGCAGGCCAGAGUCUGCAGGUAGUUGGAACACUCUCACAGAACGCUUGAAGACCUCAAUGGCUCCCAAGAAGUAAUCUGCUUUCCCUACUUCUCCCCUCAGUCUCCAUCUUCAGGGUCUGGGUUCCUUCACUUGGCCUCAUGCUGAGAAUCCUGUUGCCCUGGUCAAACUGGUAGCUGGCCAGGUAGAGAUCUCUCUUCUCUCCUGGCAGUCACAUCUCACAGAGAACCUGACUUAUGCUCUUAAGCAGAGGAUUCCAAAUCUCUCUGUGCUCACUGCUUCCUAACUGUUCUGGAAAAGUGGUUCACGGGCUGCCAUGCCUGUCACAAAGGAAAAGGGCGCAUUACAGAUAUUGAGGGCAUUUCUGCCACCACCCAAGCCACGGUGCUUGUUCCAGAAUAAAGGACCGCAGGUGCCCUUGCUCCUGGAUCACUUUUGUACUUGCCUGUCCUGUCAUUGGCUUGUCACUGGCUGCUCAUCUUGCCACUUCUUCAAUUCAGAUGACCCUGAUAGAACUUAAUCCUUUAAUUAGGCAAUUAGCACAUCUCCACUGAACAGGAUUUGUCCUUGUUGAGCUGGGGAAAGAAACUGCACAUCAUGGGAAAAGAGGAAACGGCAAUUCAGUGUGUGGGAAGUGCAGAGAGAACUGGUUUGGCCUUCGUCAAGGGGCAGUGGUGGUGCGGUCAGCAGCUUUCAGAGCUACUCUUCCCGGGCAGUGGCCGAGAUCCAGUUCUUAACAGUUCGCAAACAUACACCAGUUCUUAGGUUAUCGAGGGAGGGACAGGUUGGACCCCUCCUUGGUGAGCUUGUACUUCUGCCCUUCCUUUCCUUCACCACUUCAGGCUUUAUAAUAUUGGCCAUCAUUCACUCUAGAUUUCCUCUGUACUCAUCCUCAUCUUA